rnacentral:rRNA from 1 species
AUUGAACGCUGGCGGCAGGCUUAACACAUGCAAGUCGAGCGGGGGAAGGUAGCUUGCUACUGGACCUAGCGGCGGACGGGUGAGUAAUGCUUAGGAAUCUGCCUAUUAGUGGGGGACAACAUCUCGAAAGGGAUGCUAAUACCGCAUACGUCCUACGGGAGAAAGCAGGGGAUCUUCGGACCUUGCGCUAAUAGAUGAGCCUAAGUCGGAUUAGCUAGUUGGUGGGGUAAAGGCCUACCGAGGCGACGAUCUGUAGCGGGUCUGAGAGGAUGAUCCGCCACACUGGGACUGGGGAACGGCCCAGACUCCUACGGGAGGCAGCAGUGGGGAAUAUUGGGCAAUGGGGGGAACCCUGAUCCAGCCAUGCCGCGUGUGUGAAGAAGGCCUUAUGGUUGUAAAGCACUUUAAGCGAGGAGGAGGCUACUCUAGUUAAUACCUAGGGAUAGUGGACGUUACUCGCAGAAUAAGCACCGGCUAACUCUGUGCCAGCCGCCGCAGUAA